AGGGUUCGAUUAUGGCUCAGGACGAACGCUGGCGGCAUGCUUAACACAUGCAAGUCGAACGAGAAAGCUUCUUCGGAAGUGAUUAAAGUGGCGCACGGGUGAGUAACGCGUAGACAAUCUGCCCUUCAGUCCGGGACAACUUUCCGAAAGGGGAGCUAAUACCGGAUAACAAUGUUUAACAUAAGUUGAAUAUUUGAAAGCUCCGGCGCUGAUGGAUGAGUCUGCGUCCCAUUAGCUUGUUGGUGCGGUAGAGGCGCACCAAGGCUACGAUGGGUAGCGGGUUUGAGAGGACGAUCCGCCACACUGGAACUGAGACACGGUCCAGACUCCUACGGGAGGCAGCAGUGGGGAAUAUUGCACAAUGGAGGCAACUCUGAUGCAGCAAUGCCGCGUGAGUGAAGAAGGCCCUUGGGUCGUAAAGCUCUUUUAUGGGGGAAGAUGAUGACGGUACCCCAGGAAUAAGCACCGGCUAACUACGUGCCAGCCGCCGCGGUAAUUC
rnacentral:rRNA from 1 species